rnacentral:lncRNA from 1 species
GAAGUCACCAGAUGUGCAGUCAGAGAGCUGGACUCAGGAGAGCCUAUUAUGUCUUUCCAGCUCAGGUCCAAAGACCCGAGGACCAGAGGAGCUGAUGUCUGAAAGCUGCCAGGCUCAAGACCCCAGAGAAGCCCAUAUUUUGAGUCCAAAGUCCCGGAAAGACCUAUCUCCCAGCCCAGUCAGUCAGGUAAACUCCUUGGAUUCCUCUGUUGGACUCUGCCCAUCUCUUGGGAUGGUCUUCCAGUCUGGCAUCUCCACUCCCAACCUGGAUCCACUGCCUCCUCUCAGACUCCUGAGCACCCACCACCCACCUCCUUGAUGUCUGUCAAUACUGGGCUUGGCCUUGGCUUCAUCAGUUCUUACUGGGCAGGGUUCUCAGGCAAGUCUGCCCUUCUGUUUCCUCCUUGCAUAGUAGGGAUGACAGUGCUUGCGUCCAUGGGGUG